rnacentral:rRNA from 1 species
CCUACGGGUGGCAGCAGUGGGGAAUAUUGCACAAUGGGCGCAAGCCUGAUGCAGCCAUGCCGCGUGUGUGAAGAAGGCCUUCGGGUUGUAAAGCACUUUCAGCGGGGAGGAAGGCGGUGAGGUUAAUAACCUCAUCGAUUGACGUUACCCGCAGAAGAAGCACCGGCUAACUCCGUGCCAGCAGCCGCGGUAAUACGGAGGGUGCAAGCGUUAAUCGGAAUUACUGGGCGUAAAGCGCACGCAGGCGGUCUGUCAAGUCGGAUGUGAAAUCCCCGGGCUCAACCUGGGAACUGCAUUCGAAACUGGCAGGCUAGAGUCGUGUAGAGGGGGGUAGAAUUCCAGGUGUAGCGGUGAAAUGCGUAGAGAUCUGGAGGAAUACCGGUGGCGAAGGCGGCCCCCUGGACAAAGACUGACGCUCAGGUGCGAAAGCGUGGGGAGCAAACAGGAUAGAUACCCUGGUAGUC